AACAUCAACCACACCCACAACAACAACAACAACCCCCUCUACAACUCCCCGCAGUACAACAUCCACACCCAAACCUACUCCACCAGUAAGCACGGAGAAAAGCAGUCCAUCGACUUCUUCUACCAGGAGCAUCACUCUCACGACCCCAGCUAGGACAAGUAGCACCACCACCAGUUCUAAUUCUAUCAGUACCACCACAAAGGCGACACCUCCGAGCACCACAGGUCCACGUCCAACUGGUGCCCCAGUUUCCACCACGGUCUCUCCGGGUACCGUUACACCACAGGGGGUUUCUGCUCCAGCUGGAGGUAAUUUUGGAGUGGACACAGUAACAGGCAUUAUCAUUGGCGCUGCCGCCGUGGUGUUCGUCAUCUUGCUUACCACCUCAAUUUGUAUUAUACAAAGACAGCGCAAGGCAUGGUUCGUUCUGGACGAGAAGACAGAUUUUGAACUUGCCGACGUUCAUCGAGGCGACGUGGGCUUUGAUAACCCCGUGUAUGACGAAUCGGCCUCGGCCAGCGUGUUCGGCGAUCCAACAAAGCUGGCGGACACGUCAUAUGGAUUCAGUAACCCUGGAUACGGCGAUGCUUUUGGUGGUGACAGCAC